CGUGCAUUCACUUCUGUGUGAGAGUCUGUUUUAUCCCCACCGAGCAGGUGGGGACUCAACCCUUCACGCGCCCCGAUGAUGUGGUCCAAUAAAAGCCCUAAUCUUGCUUUAAUAAAGGAAAAGUGAAACCUCUGAAUCUAAUGUAAUCUAAUACACCCAGAGGAAGAGACCAGUUUACAAACACAAUCCAAUACUUAUUUCUGGAAUCCAUAAACAAUAUCAAACUGCUACAGUGAGUAAGAAACUUUCAUUUUGUUAUGCCACUGAAUUUUGGCGGUUGCUUUAUUACAGCAUCUGGCAUUCCUGGAACUAAUACACUCAAAAUUUGUUUUUAGAAUAUGGUGUUUGGAUGGCAUGUUUAGGCUCUCAGAUACGUAAUCUGGACAACGAAUGGUGGUGGCCAUUUUUCAUGUACUCGAAGGCAAGACCACAUCGUGUUUAUUCUUCCCCCCACGGUGAUGACCACAAGUCUGAGGACCUACAGCAGCUCCACACCACGAAAGGGUCUAUAAUGUCUGACAUGCUUUAAUAUUCUUUAACACUUUUGGAGAUUUACUUGAAGGCACAUUUUUCUUGGCCUGAAAGCCUUCAGUGAUUAUUGAAAUGCAAAUGGUAUCUCAGCAAAGUCACUCACUUGAUUUUCUUUGCUUCUAUUUCAGAGAAUGUAAGCAGAUGUGGAAGAGGAAUUCUGGUCCAUCGAUGUCCCUGUUAAAAGACUGGGACAAAACAAGAGCAGUGGGGAAAGAAGAGAAGACAGAGGCCAAUCAGAUGAGCCUGAAGAUACUACCCCAA
rnacentral:lncRNA from 1 species